ensembl:processed_transcript E230016M11Rik RIKEN cDNA E230016M11 gene
ACAACCCCCGCGAGAUCAGCGUUCAGCUCGGACAAGGUCCACCCCAGCAGAUUCUGGGCUGCAGCCCCGGGUCUCUUACCGUCACCAGCACACAGUGCAGGUCCGGGGUCUGCGCGGCGCCCCCGCUCUCCGCCGGGCCCGCGUCGUUCUCCAGUAGCAGCAGCUCAGCUAGCCGACCCGGGUUGCUGACCCGCAGGAUGUUGAUGUCGUUCUCGCAGCAGAACGCACGGAUGAGGGUGAAAUGGAUCUGCAGAGCCACAUCCCGGUCGUCGUCUUCGUCAGCAGCCAGCAGGCACAGUACCACGUUAUCGGGGUCUCUGCGGGCAGCGGGGCAGCGGUAACUGACUUGUCUGCACUCAAAACUCAGAGCCUGUCUUUCCCAGAGUAUGACGUCACUCAUCUCUACCCACCUGCUUCCCUCCAGGAGUAGCUGUGCUUGGCUACCUAGCGCUUGGCUUAUUGAUGACCAAUGAUGUGGUAUCAGUUACUGCAGAGACUCAAGAGAUUUAAGUGCAGAAAAGAAGGGACUUUUGAGUGCUCAGUCCUAAGUUGAACAAUGAUAUCAUCCCCUCCAAAGCUCAAGAUGGUUGUAAGCCACCCUGUGAUUGCUGGGAUUUGAACUCAAGACCUCCGGAAGAGCAAUUAGUGCUCUUAACCGCUGAGCAAUCUCUCCAGCCCGACUCUGCAAGUUUCAGUGAGAUAUACAUGUUAGAAGCCUUCCCACAGGCUGUUUACCUAAAGAAACCACUGUUCUCCUGAGGCACUGACUAUCCAGAUGACAGUGUCCCACUGUGCGUCCCACAAAUAUGCUGGGCAAUCAGUGCUAGACACCACAGGAGUUGCAAAGCAGCGCAACCCAAGGACACACUUCCCAAGGCUGAAGUCAUCACAAAAGUCAGGACAGAGCUCCAGAAGGCACUGCACAGGAACACAUGGUUAAGCCUGGCCAACUCCCACACGUCUGCUACCACAGCUACUCUGCAGCCCAGACUGCAGGAUCCAGAAGUUCAAGAAUCUCACUAUAUAUCUCUGGCUCCCUGACUGGACUGGAACUCUAUAUGUAGUCUAGUCUAGCCUUGAUCUCACAGAAAUCUGCACACCUGCUAGGACUGGCCAUGCACACCAUUACACAGGACAAAAUAAAUAUUAAGAAAGAAAGGAUUGGUGAAUGAAUGUACACUUAUGUAUAAAAACCAUCUCUAUUAUAUACCUUUUUUGUGUGUCUCCUGAAUUAAACUAAACUUAACCUACAAAUGUCUGGUCCUAGCUGAUUUUGACAAGAAUACUUCUUAGAAUUGUUGGUGUCUUUGCUGGAACUCCCUGUUCAGUUGGCUCAAGGGUGGGUUUAGGGUUCCAUCUUAAGCUCUAGGACUGUGGAUUCUAUAGUAGCUGUUAGCUGUACAAACUCACUGAGCUCCGGAAGUGUAUGUAAUGUGGCCAGUGGGAUGAAGGAGCUAAACUUUUAACCUUGUUAAGUUUUAAUGUAUUUAAAUUUAAAUUUUCACUCAGUCCCUAUCUAUGCUUGUAAUAAUUUGGAUACGUGAAUCUCUUCAGCCAUCUGUGUUAUGAAACCUUAAAUAUAAUUUAACUCUACAUGGUGAAGGUUUGUUACGUCGACUGAGAUUAUUGUAAGUAUAAAACUACCAAAUCCUGAAGGCCUGUACAGAGUUUUAAAACUCAAUUUGUAUACAGGUUAUUUAUUGAAAUGCUGACAUUUUAAAUAUACUUAGUCUCUAAGGCAUAUUAAAAUUAAUUUUACUUGUC